GGGGGGGGCGGGGGGGGGGCUUAGCAGGGGCGGGGCGAGCGGGCGGGGCCUGCUUUGGUGGGGUGCUCGGGUUGCGCCCGGGUGCGUGCCCCUGUCGUACCCUGCCCUUGCCUUUGGGAUAACUUCCUGAACCUGGGGCUCAUACCGUAUCUGAGCUCCUGAUUCCUGUGUGGGGUUGGCACUUUUCGGCGGUUGGUUAUGGACUGGCGCCUUCUACGCUUGUUGGUGGGCUAGUGGCUUACCACGGCUUUGACGGGUCGCCGGCCUGAGAGGGUGACCGGCCACAUUGGGACUGAGAUACGGCCCAGACUCCUACGGGAGGCAGCAGUGGGGAAUAUUGCACAAUGGGCGGAAGCCUGAUGCAGCAACGCCGCGUGCGGGAUGACGGCCUUCGGGUUGUAAACCGCUUUCGCCUGUGACGAAGCGUGAGUGACGGUAAUGGGUAAAGAAGCACCGGCUAACUACGUG
rnacentral:rRNA from 1 species